UACGGAGGGUGCAAGCGUUGCUCGGAAUUACUGGGCGUAAAGCGUACGCAGGCUGUUCGCUAAGUCGGGUGUGAAAUCCCGGGGCUCAACCCCGGAAUUGCGCCCGAAACUGGCGGGCUUGAGUGCGGGAGAGGGAAGCGGAAUUCCUGGUGUAGAGGUGAAAUUCGUAGAUAUCAGGAGGAACACCGGUGGCGAAAGCGGCUUCCUGGCCCGACACUGACGCUCAUGUACGAAAGCGUGGGGAGCAAACAGGAUUAGAAACCCCAGUAGUCC
rnacentral:rRNA from 1 species